GCGAGCAAUAUUUACAAAUAAGACAACCUUCUGUUUGCCAUAGUAAUCCAACUCAAUAAUGCUCGUAAGAAGCCCGUAAUACUCCACAUUUCCCUCAACAGGAUUACUGUCCCUAGCACUAACAUAACUUGUAAUUGAAGAAUUAACAAUUAUUCCACAAUUUUGAGUCCUCCUCAAUCUUUCAGGAGAUUUUGUAUGAAACUUGAAUCUAUUAAUGAGGAAGGCAUUAAAUCUUUUUGCUACUCUAUUCGGACCUUGGGAAAGCCAUUUAAC
rnacentral:lncRNA from 1 species